GAAAUGCGAUAAGUAAUGUGAAUUGCAGAGUUCAGUGAAUCAUCGAAUCUUAGAACGCACCUUGCGCUCCUUGGUAUUCCUUGGAGCAUGCCUGUUUGAGUAUCAUGAAAUCUUCAAAGUAAAUCUUUUGUUAACUCAAUUGGUUUCUACUUUGGUAUUGGAGGUCUUUGCAGCUUCACACCUGCUCCUCUUUGUUCAUUAGCUGGAUCUCAGUGUUAUGCUUGGUUCCACUCGGCGUGAUAAGUUAUCUAUCGCUGAGGACACUGUAAAAGGUGGCCAAGGUAAAUGCAGAUGAACCGCUUCUAAUAGUCCAUUGACUUGGACAAUACUUUUAUGAUCUGAUCUCAAAUCAGGUAGGACUACCCGCUGAACUUAAGC
rnacentral:misc_RNA from 1 species